rnacentral:rRNA from 1 species
CACGUAGGGGGCAAGCGUUGUCCGGAUUUAUUGGGCGUAAAGAGCUCGUAGGCGGUUUCGUAAGUCGGGUGUGAAAACUCUAGGCUCAACCUAGAGACGCCACCCGAUACUGCGAUGACUAGAGUCCGGUAGGGGAGUGUGGAAUUCCUGGUGUAGCGGUGAAAUGCGCAGAUAUCAGGAGGAACACCGGUGGCGAAGGCGGUUCUCUGGGCAUGUCCUGACGCUGAGGAGCGAAAGUGUGGGGAGCGAACAGG